CAAUAGCGUAUAUUAACGUUGUUGCAGUUAAAAAGCUCGUAGUUGGAUUUCUGGAGGGAGCGUCGGCCCGUAUUUACGAGUGCGUGACGUCUCUGUCCAUCCUUGCGGGAAGGCACGGCAUUGAUUUGUUGUGUCGGAUCGCAUCAUUUACUGUGAAAAAAUUAGAGUGUUCAAAGCAGGCUUUCGCUUGAAUACAUUAGCAUGGAAUAAUAAGAUAUGACUUUGGUGCUAUUUUGUUGGUUGAGCCUAAAGUAAUGAUUAAUAGGGAUAGUUGGGGGCACCUGUAUUGCGUUGUCAGAGGUGAAAUUCUUGGAUUUACGCAAGACAAACAGCUGCGAAAGCGUCUGCCAAGGAUGUUUUCAUUAA
rnacentral:rRNA from 1 species